AUUGAACGCUGGCGGCAUGCCUUACACAUGCAAGUCGAACGGUAACGCGGGGCAACCUGGCGACGAGUGGCGAACGGGUGAGUAAUGUAUCGGAACGUGCCCAGUUGUGGGGGAUAACUGCUCGAAAGAGCAGCUAAUACCGCAUACGACCUGAGGGUGAAAGCGGGGGAUCGCAAGACCUCGCGCAAUUGGAGCGGCCGAUAUCAGAUUAGGUAGUUGGUGGGGUAAAGGCCCACCAAGCCAACGAUCUGUAGCUGGUCUGAGAGGACGACCAGCCACACUGGGACUGAGACACGGCCCAGACUCCUACGGGAGGCAGCAGUGGGGAAUUUUGGACAGUGGACGCAAGUCUGAUCCAGCCAUGCCGCGUGCGGGAAGAAGGCCUUCGGGUUGUAAACCGCUUUUGUCAGGGAAGAAACGCUCUGGGUUAAUACCUCGGGGUAAUGACGGUACCUGAAGAAUAAGCACCGGCUAACUACGUGCCAGCAGCCGCCGUAACAC
rnacentral:rRNA from 1 species